rnacentral:rRNA from 1 species
AAUGGGUCAGCGACUUAUAUUCUGUAGCAAGGUUAACCGAAUAGGGGAGCCGAAGGGAAACCGAGUCUUAACUGGGCGUUAAGUUGCAGGGUAUAGACCCGAAACCCGGUGAUCUAGCCAUGGGCAGGUUGAAGGUUGGGUAACACUAACUGGAGGACCGAACCGACUAAUGUUGAAAAAUUAGCGGAUGACUUGUGGCUGGGGGUGAAAGGCCAAUCAAACCGGGAGAUAGCUGGUUCUCCCCGAAAGCUAUUUAGGUAGCGCCUCGUGAAUUCAUCUCCGGGGGUAGAGCACUGUUUCGGCAAGGGGGUCAUCCCGACUUACCAACCCGAUGCAAACUGCGAAUACCGGAGAAUGUUAUCACGGGAGACACACGGCGGGUGCUAACGUCCGUCGUGAAGAGGGAAACAACCCAGACCGCCAGCUAAGGUCCCAAAGUCAUGGUUAAGUGGGAAACGAUGUGGGAAGGCCCAGACAGCCAGGAUGUUGGCUUAGAAGCAGCCAUCAUUUAAAGAAAGCGUAAUAGCUCACUGGUCGAGUCGGCCUGCGCGGAAGAUGUAACGGGGCUAAACCAUGCACCGAAGCUGCGGCAGCGACACUAUGUGUUGUUGGGUAGGGGAGCGUUCUGUAAGCCUGCGAAGGUGGCCUGUGAGGGUUGCUGGAGGUAUCAGAAGUGCGAAUGCUGACAUAAGUAACGAUAA